GAUGAACGCUGGCGGCGUGCCUAACACAUGCAAGUCGAGCGAACGGACGAGAAGCUUUCUCUUCUGCUGUUAGCGGCGGACGGGUGAGUAACACGUGGAUCACCUUCUUAUAAGUCUGGGAUAACUUCGGGAAACAGGUGCUAAUACCGCAUAAUAUUUUCAACCGCUUGGUUCAAAAGUGAUACACGGUCUUGCUGUCUCUUAUAGAUGGAUCCGCGCUGCAUUAGCUAGUUGGUAAGGUAACGGCUUACCAAGGCAACGAUGCAUAGCCGACCUGAGAGGAUGAUCGGCCACACUGGAACUGAGACACGGUCCAGACUCCUACGGGAGGCAGCAGUAGGGAAUAUUGCGCAAUGGGCGCAAGCCUGACGGAGCAACGCCGCGUGAGUGAUGAAGGUCUUCGGAUCGUAAAACUCUGUUAUUAGGGAAGAAAAUAUGUGUAAGAAACUGUGGACAUCCUGACGGUACCUAAACAGAAAGCAACGGCUAACUACGUG
rnacentral:rRNA from 1 species